AGGCAUUUUUUCAAAAAUUGAUUUCAGAGUGUCCAGAAAUUUGUUAAUGUGGCUACAUUGAGAGACAGGUUAUGCCUCCAUCACAGUAAUCUUAUUACAGUGGUGACAAUGCGACCUGUAACAUUU
rfam:Myotis davidii contig315566, whole genome shotgun sequence.